GCUUCGUUGGUGUAACAGCAGCACCUCUGCCCACCAAGCAGAUGAUGAGGGUGCAAUUCCCUUACGGAGCUCCA
rnacentral:tRNA from 1 species